GAGGAGAAGAAAUAGAUAUAAAAAAGACGAGAUAAAGGACAGAAACAGUAGAACAAAGAAGAAUAUCGGAGAUCGAGGAGAAGAAAUAUAGAUCGAAGGGACGGAAUCAGAGAGUUCUAGGAAAAGGUUUACUCAACAUUCAAAUCUGAAUUUUAAAGAACUACAUGGGGGUAUUUAUAGCAAACUAAAACCUAGACAUAAUAGGAUAAAAAUCCCUUGCUUAAACAGAAAUCCUAACCCAAAUAAAAUAGGAAACUUAAAACUAGAAAUCUGGAAAAGUAGAAAUCCUACUAGAAUUUGGAAAACUAGACUCUGAUACCAAUUGAUGUAGUACAGCCCAUAGGUAUUGAUUAAGCACUCAAACAGUAGAACAAAGAAGAAUAUCGGAGAUCGAGGAGAAGAAAUAUAGAUCGAAGGGACGAAAUCAGAGAGUUCUAGGAAAAGGUUUACUCAACAUUCAAAUCUGAAUUUUAAAGAACUACAUGGGGGUAUUUAUAGCAAACUAAAACCUAGACAUAAUAGGAUAAAAAUCCCUUGCUUAAAUAGAAAUCCUAACCCAAAUAAAAUAGGAAACUUAAAACUAGAAAUCUGGAAAAGUAGAAAUCCUACUAGAAUUUGGAAAACUGGAGAAUCUAGGAAACUAAUA
rnacentral:lncRNA from 1 species